UUAAUACUAAAUUGAGUUUUUUUAUGACUCCUUCGCUUCUGUAUAGUAUGAAAUACAUAUCUCGUGUAACAUAAUUUCAUGUAAACUCUGGACUUUAAUGACGACAAGUUGGAUGUAUGGUUUCCUGUAUUGUGUUUUAGGUCAGAAUGGUUAACAUUUUAUACUUGACAAAGAUUUGAACCUCCAAUUCUGAUCAUCCGUCUCUUUCUCAAAAUUUAUUAAAAACCACACUAUUUUUUUUAAAACUUGUGUAUCAAAUGCUAACCAUUCUUACCUAAAACAUGAUUAAGGAAACCGAAAUAUUGACACAGCGAGUUAUUUUAUUCUUAUGGAAGAUUAAAUUAUGCAUGACAAAAAUACAAUCGGAAAUAUUUUUUACAAUCUCUUGAUGCUUUAAAAAUAUUUUACUGUUAAAUAAAAUAACACGUCUGACUUGUCGUCAUUAAAAUCCAGAGUUUGAAUGAAAUUACGUUACACGAGAUACGCAUUUCAUACCAUAUAAGAGCAAAGGAGAUAUUAAGAACUUAAUUUAGUAUAAGCGACACGCUUACCUAAAUUUAAACUUUAAUCCAAUUCUUAAAACAAUAAAGUUGCAAGAUACAGUAACAUGCACGCACUUCCAUUUUGUGUGUUUUUUUUUCGUUCCAUUUUGUCAAAAUUUAUUUACAACCACACUCAUUCUUAAUAACAUUUGUAUCAAAUGCUUACCAUAACAAAGCCGUAAUCCUGUCGCUGUAAGUUAUUUUAUUCCUAUGAAAAUUUAAAUUAUGCAUGACAAACACAAAAUCCAAAAUAAUUUUGGAAUAUUUCUAUGCUUUAAAAAAUAUUUAACUGCACGGCCGACUUGUAGUCAUUAAACCCAGAGUUUAAAUGAAAAUACGCCACACGAGAUAUAUAUGUAUUUCAUAUCAAGUCAUGUGUGCUGAAUUAAUGUUACUCAGCUUUACAUAUUCUACCAUUUAUUAAUUAAACAGAACCUUGUCAAGUUGACGAUGCUUAUAAUUUGAGAAGUUAAUGAUUUAUAAUCAUCGAGGGGGGUAUUCCAGACGUAAAACAUUGCAUCAUUACAUGGAAAACAGCUGCACAACUGUAUGCGAAAGGUAAAACAGUAUAUUCUAUCGAGAACUAACUUGCAAUUUGCAUAGCAACGUCCGAAAUGUGCAAACUCCGACAUCUAUUUCGAUAUUUAUAAAUUCAAGAUAUAACGUUAACUGAACUGUUAUACAGAAAUCAAACUAUAAAACUUGUGUUUUGAUAAAAAAAAUAAGCAAAGCAAACCAAAAAAAAUUACCCUUUUAACGGCAAAACGAUUAAUUUAUCCAAUAUUCAACACAUGUAUUUCCAUUCAAAUUAUGAACUUGAACUUUAACGGUUGAUUGUCGUUUCGUGCCAAUACCAGUUCGUGCCACUAAUAUUUGUGUUGUUUAUUUUUAAAGAUGCAGCCAGAGCAGGGCGAAUAGACAAGAAGCCGAUGACGCUGCGUCGAGGGACCUGUCAUCUAUGCCCUGCUCAGCGACACCUCUCGUGGCUAUUGUUGAUGGGUCAGAGUGGGCUGACAAGAUACAGGUUAUAAGUAGUCUAUUUAUAUUUUGAUACAAAUUUUCUAUGUUUAUUCCGACAACCUUUUUAUUGGGAUUAUAUUUGUUUGACAUGUUUGUAGAUAUUUUGUUUUUUGUUUAUAUGUUAAAUAGAUUUGACGAAGAUGAUUCAUCCAUUGCGUCGCAGGCUCUCUUUGCAUUUAAUACGUAAAUCUCUGAUAUGAUGGUGAACAUGAUUUUGUCUGUAAUAUCAGAUUUAUGUAAACAAAAUUGAUUAUAUGUGCCUAGCAGUUGUAUGUUAGGUGCCUACAUACAUGCAUGUACUCAUGUUUUCUGAAUAUAAUUUGUUGCAUUAGAGACAUGGUAUUUAUUUCCCAGAUGUAAUUUUAAGUUAUAAAUGCAAUUGUCGUUCAUAGAUUAAAACAAUGGCACAUUCUUCAAGUGGUGUUCUCACUGUAUUUAUGGAAAAAUUUUGUUGUUCUGUUUCCUCUAAAUUUCCGUGGCACAAUUGAACACGCUCAUCACUGUAAAAAAUAUAGUGAUUAUUAUCAACACACCCAACAGUAGUGUAGUGUUGGUGGUGAUGAUUGACAGACGCUUUGAACUCAUAGGUCUCGUUGUUAAUAAAAAUGUUAUUAUCAAGAGAGAUUCUCUUUUGUGCACUACGAUGAAUAUUUAUUAUCAGGAGACUGGGCGGUCUGACCAAUUCACGUUUGACCUCAUGUAACUUUUCACCACAAUGUUCACAAUUAAGCAAUUUCUGUUCCAUUAGCCAUUUGUUAAUGCCCUCUUGUAUACGUAUUUGUGCUUCUUCUAUAUCUACAAGAUUGAUUAAGAUUCUUUGGGAUCGGAAUUGUUCUUUGAUUUUUGAGGAACUGCAACUUUGACAUGUUUUUGUAGUUUUGACAGUUCCCUUGUGAAUUUGGCAAUCGUAUGUUUGAUCAAGACGGUCAAAAAGUUUAACAAGGAACUCAUCCGCAUCGUGUUCUAUUCCUAGGCGCCAACCAGGGAGCAGGGACUCUGUUAGUUUUAUAAUUGGCAUUUUAGGGAGAUCCCUUAGGGGUAAAUUGUGAUGCCGAUAGGCACGAUUUACAACCUCAUUCAGUGCACAAAGAGGACAAAUCUCAUUUUGAAGGUGGUAACCAGAGCAUUGCUGGUGCAAGUAUUGACACUCCCUUAAGAAGGCAUCAAAACUUCUGGUAUGGCAAAGAGCUAUAAUUGGGGCAUUCAAAAAGCACACAUUAUUUCCACUGUUUUGCAAACCUUUAAAUGUUUGUCUGGAAAUAUCAGGUCGAGUUUUUAGGGACAGCAAAUUUUCAUUAGGUAUGGGAUCAAGAGGUGACAAUUUUUGUUUUGGGGUUGGUAAUUUCCUUUUCUUAAUGUCACAUGAUGGGCCUCCUAGAGAUAACUUAUCGUCAAAUUGUCUUUUUAAAACCUUUGGUUUAACAGAUUUGUUCUUUUGGUAAUUAGUCAAGGUUUCAUAAUCCUCUUGACUUAUGUGUGGUGCUGCUUCAGCUACCAGAUAUUCCUGGGUUUCGAUCAACUUUUCAAGCACUCUCAUAAUAACAUUUGUAUCGGUGUCUAUGAACAUAAGUUGCACGAUGCGAAUCAGUUCCUCUUUGUCCUUUUUGAUACUUAACCUUUUUGCAAAAGCUUUAUCUAUGAUACUGUCUGCCAAAUCAUUAUAAUGAGUAGUCCAAAAUGGGUCGCCACAGUUUUUAUGUCGGUACAUGCGUUCAGACUUAACUUUUACGGCUUCUUCAAAUGCUUGUGCAUCAAGAACAUUUUCCUUAAGCCUUUGUACUUUAAGGUCCAUGUAAUUUGGAAAAGUACGUAUAUGAAGAUGGGCGGGACUUCUAACCCUAGAAAUGGCAACCAGGAAUAUGCCAGGCACAUGAAACCAGCCAUCCAGAUCAACUUCAGCCAAUGGGAAAUUAGCUCCUUGUCCUUUAAAACUUGUUGCUGCAUCUCCUCCUUCGAGUGGCAAGGCGAUUCUAAUCAUGGGUAUGUUUGACUUUGUCUUCCCAGCUUUUUGUUUGUAACUUUCAACAGGAGGAAUUGGGACAUAAUUUUCGCAUC